rnacentral:tRNA from 1 species
UAGGAAGUAGGUUAAGUAAAACCACUACCGUUCAAAGGUAGAAAAGUCAAAAUCGACCUUCCUUA